GGGCUCCCUCCUUCUGCUCCCACACCACCUCUUGACUCAGGGUGCAGAAGAGCCAAAUGACUCAGGCUGCAGGAGAGGCACAAAGUGCAUGGAGGCACCUGCAGGAUUUAAAAAUCUACAAAAUGGGAGCGAAAAUGACUGAGAAAUGAAAGAAAUCCUGGUCAAAAAGUCUUGGCAGGACCCUUUGGAGAGAGAAAUGACCAGGGGGAGGUCAGGGUCAAGGUUUGUAAGGUCUCAAGUGGUGUGGAAACAGAAGAAAGAACAUCCAGGCAUGAAAAACAUCAGGCAGGAAACAGGAUCUGCUGGAGCAGGGAGGGAAAAAAACAGCUCAUCUCGGAGCCAAUCAAGCAGAAAAAUGCAGCUUCUCAGCGGGAAGAGGGAACAAGGCUUGAACACAGCCCACAACAAGAAAGAAGAAAAGCUUUGGAAU